CCCUCGCAUACAAUUAGGAAAUUGCGAAGGGACUAUUUUUGUUUACCACCAUUUCACCACCUCUUAGUUUACAUGGGAUCAGUCGCCGUGGAAUGGAACCAAACAUACGGACGAACACUGUAACCAAAACUCUCAACAAGCGGCCAUGGCGGAACAAAAAUCCCAAAAUCAUUACUCUCUUUUCCUUAACUCUUGCCGCCCUCAAAAACCCACAAAUUCCUUCAUCCAAAACCCUAAUUUUAAAUUCCUUAAACAACUUCCUCCGUCUCCUACGCCGGAAAUCGUCAUUACCCUCGGAAUCCCUUGUCAACCCCAUAAUCUCUCUGCUUCCUCCCCUUCUUCAUUCAAGCUACGAAGAAAUUACUUGCAUGGCCGUGAAAAUUGUUGGAGCGACAUCCCUUGUUUCAAUUGAAAUGAAUGAAAGGAUUGCUUGUGAUACUGGGAUUUUGAAGGGUUUAGUUUGGAAUAUAUUGAGGGCUGACAAAAUGGUUACUAAAAAAGCUGUUUGUAAUGCUGUUUUAGAUCUUUUUAUCACUUCAUUGGGUUGUCAAAAGUUGCUGCAAGUUUUUGCUUUGAAUUAUCUAAUGCUUGGAUUCGUUCAGGUUCAAAAAUCCAUGGUCACUUCCGUUUAUAUCAAAACAGUGAAAUCUGAUGGUGAUGUUUUCCUUGGAAUUGAUCAAAAUCAAGAUGAAACUCCAUUGUUACUUCUCAAUGCUACAGCUACUCUUACCAACAUUUGCAACUCUAAACAGCUGACAAACAUACCAAGGACACUAAAAGAAGCUGUUUUUCCUUAUUUGGAAGAGAUAUGGUCUAACAUACACGAACAGUUGUUGGCCUCCACAAUUCUCAAUUCCUCUGAAUUUAAACACUGCUACAUGAGUAACCUUACUGUCCAGAACUUAGCAGAGAGCAUUUUUAGGCUACACAUGGAUGCUCCCACUCUUACUAAUUCUAUACCUUCAAAGGAUGUCAUGGGGCACUUAUUUAGACCUUUUUCAUCAAGUUUUGAGGGCUUCGUGUCUGACCAUUGGGAACUAUCACCUUUUCUAGUUAAGGCGCAACCAAAAGAUCCGAACAGACCACAUGGUUUUUUCAGCUCAUUUAUGAAUUUAUUAACAUGUGAAGAAGCAGUGCCUAGAUUCCUUUCUUCGAUACUUCGAGGAAUGGUUUCUUGUUCUCCUCUAGCUAUAGACGAAAUAGACAGUCUGGGUUUUCUUAAUGAUGUAAAGGAAACUCUUGGUUUUCCUUUGAUAUAUCAGCAAGACUUGCGUGUUGUAAGGACGAACUUGCAUUCUAAACUUCAGGAGCAUUAUUUUCAGGAAAGUUCUAGCAAUGGCGUUGAGCUUCCAAGAUCUUUUUCUGCUGAUGACAUUUUAAAGGUCAAGGAAGCUUAUGGAGAGGGUUAUACUGUAGCUUUGCGUGGCAUGCAGUUCCGCUCUAAUAGCAUUGCUGCAUUUACACGAGAAGUUGCUUCUUUUUUUGGUCAACCGUCAGUAGGUGCUAAUCUGUAUGUUACACCACCGAAUUCUCAAGGUUUAUCCUGCCACUACGAUGAUCAUUGUGUUUUCGUCUGCCAACUUUUUGGGGUGAAAAAAUGGACGGUGUCUUCACAACCUGUGGUCCAGUUACCUCGUCUAUAUGAUUCUCUCAAGAGUCCUCAGGAUUCAACGAUGGAAAGGAGACAAAUUUUGCUUAGAGAAGGUGAUGUCCUAUAUCUUCCUAGAGGUUUUGCACAUGAGGCAUGCACAACUACAGAUGUUGAUUCAAGCGACAAGGUUUAUGUGUCCUCUAUACAUCUUACUCUUGCUAUAGAGGUUGAGCCUCCUUUUGAGUGGGAAGGCUUCGCACAUGUCGCGCUUCAUCAGUGGAGCCGUAAUAAAUGCUCUGAUAUUAUAGACUCGGGCCCUCUUAGGAAUUUCCUUGCUAUUUCGGUGAAUAUUUUGCAUGUCGCAAUCAGGCUAAUUAGCAGUACAGAGACGGUUUUUCGGAAAGUUUGCUUGGUUGCUGCUAGUUCCUUGCCUAGAGAAACUGAAGACUGGCUUGACAUGAACCAGAGAACCAUUUUUGAUCUGGUACUAUACAGAAUCAAUGAGCUAUCCAGCUUCACAGAUUCUCUAAAUUUUUUACAAAUGGCUAUUCAAAAAGAUGAAGAUCCUUUUCAUUGGGUCAGAUGGGUUGAGCAUCUUGAUGGAGAAGUAACUGUUGAUAAUGGGUUUAUUACUUUUGACGGAAUUCACGAAACGUUACCAUUUAUUCAUCAAUGCAGGGAUGACGUAGAAGCUGCGUUCGCUCUUGUUAAGUCAAAAUUUUGUAAUGAUGUUCGCUUUGAUGAUACUAAAGAGAGCUAUAAAUCUUUGUAUGUCAUGUACAAAGAUGCCAGAAUGCAAUAUAUGAAUGGAAUGCUUUCUUUACAUAAUCAGUCGAAUAUGUUAUAGAACAAAAACCGAUCUUUUCCUGAUUUGUUUUUUCACCAUUACCCGUCCCACAGGUGCGCAUCCUGAGCCUUUCUCUUCAUCUUUUCUACAAGAUGUGAUGAUUCCUGUGAAUAAAUUAUGCUUUUGGCGAUGGUGCUAAUUUCCUAUAUGUAAAUCAAACCCGUUCUACCGAGGACUGAGAAAUUAAGUUUUGUCUCAAGUUCAGGGAUGCUAUUUUCUAUAUCUAAUUCUUUUGUUUUGUUUCGUUUAUGUUUAGCGAAAGUUUGAUGCUGGCUCAAGGUGGUGAAGAGGCGGCAUGCAAUUCAUGAUCGAGGCUUGUAAGGGUUCCAAACUCAACGUUGGCAACUAAACACGAAGGUUGCACUUGUUUCGGGACUUAACACCUUGCGGCAUUAUGCGACGACAACCAUGCACCACUUGAGUUUGCGUUUGCGAAGGCGCUCUUCUCUUUCUAGAGGAUUUGCUGCAUGUUAAGCCCUGUAUUGUGGAAAGAAGACCUUGUUCUCUAAUAGAUCUCAUCAUUAGUUUUUCAGACCUGAUAGACAAGACUACUAAGGAUUGACAUAGUAGAUUUUUAUCCUUUGGGAAUUGACAGAUUCGAAUCAUGAUCUAGGCCUUUAAGAUAAGCUCCUAGUAUACUUAAACUUGAAAUUGGUAAAUUUUGAUGAAGUUUAGCAUAAGAAUUCUUAAAAUGCUUAAGUGUUAAUACACAUAUUAAAAAAAAAAAAUCUUAAUUCUAAGAAAAAUUUUAAAAUUAGGAAAAUGAGUUUUUAAUUUAAAAAAAUAAUCAAAAUAGCAAGUUUUGUAAUACACCGACUCACAAUGAGAUGAGCCUAUAAAAUCAGGUAAUUUCUCUAAUUGAUCAAUUUAAGAUUGUAAGUGAUCACUUUAAAGUUACAGGUGCUCUCUUGAGAGACCGUCUUUUUUAAAGACGGUUCUUAAAAGCCCAGCCCAAAACUAUUGCUGAAAUUAAAAAACAAACGCGCGCAUGUGAAGUGGAAUGUGAAAAGUCAUAUAAUAUAUUUGGGAUUAUAACAAUAUUUAUUUGAAGUUAUUAAUAAUAUAUUUGGUGGUAUACCAGCAUAUAUUUAAGGAAUAUAUUUAAAGUUAUAACAGUAUUAUAUUUGAGGUUAUAACAUGAUAUAUAUGGGUUUAUAACAAUAUAUAUCUGUGGUUAUAACAUAAUAUAUUUGGGGUUUUAACAUAAUAUAUUUAGAGUUGUGACAAUAUAUAUUUGAGAUUAUAAUAUAAUAUAUAUGGGGUUAUAAUAUAUAUUUGGGAUUAUAACAUAAUAUAUUUGGUGUUAUAAAUAUACUAUACCCUCAAAUACAGACCAUUAUAUACCCAACUACAUAAUUUAAAAACCCCCAAAUACAUAAUAUUAUAACCCCAAACACAGACAAUUAUAUACCCAAAUAUAUAAUGUUAUAACCCAAACACAGAUCAUUAUACACCCAACUAUACGUGCGUGUUUAGAAAGUUUAAUUAAAUUUUUUUUGAAAUAUCAAAAUUGGGUCGGCCCAACUUGAGACGUCUUUACAAAAGACGGUCUCAAGUAAGAAUUUGUGUUAAA